rnacentral:rRNA from 1 species
GACGAACGCUGGCGGCGUGCUUAACACAUGCAAGUCGAACGGAAAGGCCCUGCUUUUGUGGGGUGCUCGAGUGGCGAACGGGUGAGUAACACGUGAGUAACCUGCCCUUGACUUUGGGAUAACUUCAGGAAACUGGGGCUCAUACCGGAUAGGAGCUCCUGCUGCAUGGUGGGGGUUGGAAAGUUUCGGCGGUUGGGGAUGGACUCGCGGCUUAUCAGCUUGUUGGUGGGGUAGUGGCUUACCAAGGCUUUGACGGGUAGCCGGACUGAGAGGGUGACCGGCCACAUUGGGACUGGGGUACGGCCCAGACUCCUACGGGAGGCAGCAGUGGGGAAUAUUGCACAAUGGGCGGAGGCCUGAUGCAGCAACGCCGCGUGCGGGAUGACGGCCUUCGGGGUGUAAACCGCGUUCGCCUGUGACGAAGCGUGAGUGACGGUAAUGGGUAAAGAAGCACCGGCUAACUACGUG